ensembl:lncRNA
UGGAACAGGCUGCCCAGGGAGGUGUCCUCCCUGGAGGUACUAAAAAAACAUGGAGAUGUGGCAAUGAGGGCCAUGGUUAGUAGACAUGGUGGAGGUGGGUUGGCAGUUGGACUCGAUCAUUGAGUCACAGAAUCAUAGAAUGGCCUGGGUUGAAAAGGACCACAAUGAUCAUCAUGUUUCAACCCCCCUGCUGUGUGCAGGGUCACCAACCACCAGACCAGGCUGCCCAGAGCCACAUCCAGUCUGGCCUUGAAUGCCUCCAGGGAUGGGGCAUCCACAACCUCCUUGGGCAACCUGUUCCAAUGAACAGGUUGUGUUCGGUGGUCUUACAGGUCUUUUCCAACCUUAAUGAUUCUGUGGUCCUAUAAUAUAGGAUAUAAUAUGUGGUCCUAUACUGCAUAAUCCUGCUCCCAGGUUUGCAGGGCUGAAGAAAGGUAGGGAUAAUUUUGCCUGCUGUGCAUAGUUUCAGAUUAUGAGUCUUCAGGGCCAUUAAAUUGUUAUCUUUCAUGAUUGCUUAGGUCUUCAAGGGAGUUUUUCUAAAGUACCUAAAUAUUUGAAUUUCACAGCUUACGUUUCUUUCCAAUACAGCUCGUUCCACCUUCACUUGCCUAACUUCAGUGCUAUGUUCCUGUGCUGUCAUUUCCAUGAUUGUCUCUUGCUCUGUAUUAUCUACUGAAAGAGAGGCUGCUGCACCCCCAUCGUUCUCAUACUUCGCUGCCAAGCUGGUGGCUUCAGUUAACAAGUGUCUGGUGCCUUGGGUAUGCAAAGAGCAAUGAAUGUAAGCUCCAGAGGGCAAAAGUCUAAGCAAAAAAAGUCCAUGUAAGAUGUGGGAGAGCACUUAAGCACCAGGGAAAGCUGUAACAAAAUUCCUCUGGCAUCAAGGGUGAGACUCAGCUGAGCUAACCACAACAACAGUGUGAACAGCAAGAUCUGAACUGAUGGUGCUGGAAUGCCUCCACAAUCAACAGAGGGAUACAAUGACACAUACACAGCAUAAAAUGGGCCUUCCUUUCCAUUGACUAGAAACCUGGGACUCUACAUGACCCUGGAGUACUAGCUAAGCAACAGAAUCCUACCUACAGACAUUCCAGAUGCUAUGGUUGAAUUCCACCCAAAAGCCACCCUGAUAUCCUAUUUGGGAACUCUGUUAAUAGAAAAAUGGUUUAUCCAGCCAGCUUUCAUCACAAGCAGUUUCCAAGGGGGUCAUUAAUAUGCUAUGUAAUUCCAAACCUAACUAUUCUAAUGUGCAUUGAUUUCAUCUUAUGUGGGAAAAAGAGCUCAUUGCUUAUUAUAGGUUGUAAUAUAUCUCCACAGAAAAGGUAAAAGCUAGCCGCUAGCGUCACACAAAUGACUAUUAGAGGAGUUAGCAGUGUUUGCUUAAGAUGGUGCAUCACAGCCGAAUGCCUUCCAACAGAGCACUGGGAUGCCAGGCUGCCCUGCAGUGGGAAGGAGCAAGGCAGAAGUAAGCUGAAUUAGGGGAAAAAUGGAAAAAAAGCAGCAGGAACAUGGGUAAGUGCAUGGUAGGUGGAAGCAGUUGGGUCGUGGUGUUUGUCUGCAGGUCCAAUACUGCUGUGCGUGGGUGGCUAACAUGCCCGCAAGGCUCUUCUCAGACUAAUUCCUGCUAAUGUCAUGCAUGGCUAGUUAACC